rnacentral:lncRNA from 1 species
GGUGGUGAUGGUUGGUGGAAGAGCAGACACCAACGAGUUCAGCAACUGUGGCGGUGGCAUUGAGCAGCAAAAAAAAAGAGAGGCAGCGGUUGUUCGAUACCGUGCGUGGCGUAUUCGGCGGCAAUAGCAGCCGAGUUGGUUGGCAAUCACUCGCCUGAGUGUGGGCUUCCUUUUGGGGGCAGCGGCAACGCAAUGGUGGCCGGAGGAAG